CCUACGGGCGGCAGCAGUGGGGAAUAUUGGACAAUGGGCGAAAGCCUGAUCCAGCCAUGCCGCGUGUGUGAAGAAGGCCUUCGGGUUGUAAAGCACUUUCAGUGGGGAAGAAAGCCUUGGGGCUAAUACCCUCGAGGAAGGACAUCACCCACAGAAGAAGCACCGGCUAACUCCGUGCCAGCAGCCGCGGUAAUACGGAGGGUGCGAGCGUUAAUCGGAAUUACUGGGCGUAAAGCGCGCGUAGGCGGUCUGAUAAGCCGGUUGUGAAAGCCCCGGGCUCAACCUGGGAACGGCAUCCGGAACUGUCAGGCUAGAGUGCAGGAGAGGAAGGUAGAAUUCCCGGUGUAGCGGUGAAAUGCGUAGAGAUCGGGAGGAAUACCAGUGGCGAAGGCGGCCUUCUGGACUAACACUGACGCUGAGGUGCGAAAGCGUGGGUAGCAAACAGGAUUAGAUACCCCAGUAGUC
rnacentral:rRNA from 1 species